AGAUUGAACGCUGGCGGCAUGCCUUACACAUGCAAGUCGAACGGUAGAGUAGCAAUACUUGAGAGUGGCGAACGGGUGAGUAAUAUAUCGGAACGUGCCCAGUCGUGGGGGAUAACGUAGAGAAAUUUACGCUAAUACCGCAUACGAUCUAAGGAUGAAAGCGGGGGACCGUAAGGCCUCGCGCGAUUGGAGCGGCUGAUAUCAGAUUAGGUUGUUGGUGAGGUAAAAGCUCACCAAGCCGACGAUCUGUAGCUGGUUUGAGAGAACGACCAGCCACACUGGGACUGAGACACGGCCCAGACUCCUACGGGAGGCAGCAGUGGGAAUUUGGACAAUGGGCGAAAGCCUGAUCCAGCAAUGCCGCGUGCAGGAAGAAGGCCUUGGGUUGUAAACGUGCUUUUGUACGGAACGAAA
rnacentral:rRNA from 1 species